GGUUCCAUGGUGUAAUGGCUAUCACUCCAGACUCUGAAUCUGGCAAUCUGGGUUCGAAUCCCGGUGGGACCU
rnacentral:tRNA from 1 species